AAACAAGCAUCAGGAGGCAGGGGCACUUAAGGGUGUUAGUGGUAAAAACCAACCAAAUGAAGAGAGUAGGAAUUCCAGAAAUUCCGUGUACGUGAAGGUGAAUAUGGAUGGAGUUCUCAUUGGACGAAAGGUUAACCUCAGUGCUCACAGUAGCUACGAAACCUUGGCCCAAACAAUUGAGAACAUGUUCCUUGAUCCCACUGCUCUGGUUGACUCA
rnacentral:misc_RNA from 1 species